rnacentral:rRNA from 1 species
UACGGGGGGGGCAAGCGUUGUUCGGAAUCACUGGGCUUAAAGCGUGUGUAGGCGGAUCGUUAAGUGUCUUGUGAAAUCCCACGGCUCACCCGUGGAACGGCUGGGCAUACUGGCGAUCUUGGGCCAACUAGGGGCAACUGGAACAAGCGGUGGAGCGGUGAAAUGCGUAGAUAUCGCUUGGAACGCCAAAGGUGAAAACAGGUUGCUGGGGUUGUGCCGACGCUGAGACACGAAAGCCAGGGGAGCAAACGGG